rnacentral:rRNA from 1 species
UAUCGGAUUGAUACUAAGCCACGCGAGUCAUUGUAGCAAUACAAGGCAUACGGCUCAGUAACGCGUAGUCAACCUAACCUAUGGACGGGAAUAACCUCGGGAAACUGAGAAUAAUGCCCGAUAGAACAUUAUGCCUGGAAUGGUUUAUGUUCUAAAUGAUUUAUCGCCGUAGGAUGGGACUGCGGCCUAUCAGUUUGUUGGUGAGGUAAUGGCCCACCAAGACUAUUACAGGUACGGGCUCUGAGAGGAGUAGCCCGGAGAUGGGUACUGAGACACGGACCCAGGCCCUAUGGGGCGCAGCAGGCGAGAAAACUUUGCAAUGUGCGAAAGCACGACAAGGUUAAUCCGAGUGGUUUCUGCUAAAGGAACCUUUUGUCAGUCCUAGAAACACUGAUGAAUAAGGGGUGGGCAAGUUCUGGUGUCAGCCGCCGCGGUAAAACCAGCACCUCAAGUGGUCAGGAUGAUUAUUGGGCCUAAAGCAUCCGUAGCCGGCUCUGUAAGUUUUCGGUUAAAUCUGUACGCUCAACGUACAGGCUGCCGGGAAUACUGCAAAGCUAGGGAGUGGGAGAGGUAGACGGUACUCGGUAGGAAGGGGUAAAAUCCUUUGAUCUAUUGAUGACCACCUGUGGCGAAGGCGGUCUACCAGAACACGUCCGACGGUGAGGGAUGAAAGCUGGGGGAGCAAACCGGAUUAGAUACCCGGGUAGUCCCAGCUGUAAACCAUGCAAACUCAGUGAUGCAUUGGCUUGUGGCCAAUGCAGUGCUGCAGGGAAGCCGUUAAGUUUGCCGCCUGGGAAGUACGUACGCAAGUAUGAAACUUAAAGGAAUUGGCGGGGGAGCACCACAAGGGGUGAAGCCUGCGGUUCAAUUGGAUUC